UACGUAGGGUGCGAGCGUUAAUCGGAAUUACUGGGCGUAAAGCGUGCGCAGGCGGAUUUUUAAGCCAGAUGUGAAAUCCCCGGGCUUAACCUGGGAAUUGCGUUUUAAACUACAAGGCUAGAGUGUAGCAGAGGGGGGUGGAAUUCCACGUGUAGCAGUGAAAUGCGUAGAGAUGUGGAGGAACACCGAUGGCGAAGGCAGCCCCCUGGGAUAACACUGACGCUCAGGCACGAAAGCGUGGGGAGCAAACAGG
rnacentral:rRNA from 1 species